UGGAGAAACUUUUCCUCUCCCUGACCAGC
rnacentral:piRNA from 1 species